UGCCCCAUGGCUUAGUUGGUUACGGCGUCCGACUGUUAUGAUCACAUCGGCAUCGGAAGAUCGAGAGUUCAAGUCUCUCUGGGGCAG